CUCAAUUUUUCCAAAUGAAAGCUUACAUACAAAAACAAUUUUUUUUUCAGGAAUGCCACCAACAGGAAUCAGUGGAAGUUAACAGAAUUUAACAACAGCUAAGCUAGUCAGGAAGCGGGGGAAGAUCACUCCUUUUCAGUGGUGCCACCCCUCAUCAACAGCGGUGGACAGGGCGGUGGGGAGCUGGAAAUCCUGAACCACUGAAGAAGCCCUGCUACCAUCUCAAGAGUCACUCUGUCUCACUGUCAUUGAUGAGAUGAUUUAGUUGGUGUAAUACCAAUCCUCCAUGAGCUAAGAUAUUAUCCCAAGGCAGCAGCUGAUAAGAGCAGAGACAACAGACGACCAGGCACUCCAAAGGAACUGGAAACAGAAAACACAGAUACAAGAGGCGAGAGCAUGGGGCAAGAAGGACCGACAAAUAAUAGUGAUUGCCAUGGGCUGAAUGUUUUUUGUGGCCUUGAAACUCACAUGUUGAAACCUAAUCACCCCAGAUAGUGCCUCAUUUUAAAAAUAGCAACCAACACUUAGUGAGAACCUGACCUCUACUAUACUACAUGUUUUAAACCUCCUAACAACCCUAUGAGGUCUUACUGAUGAGGAAAUAGAAGGUUGGAGAAGUUAAAAGACGGCCAAAGGCCACCCAGCCAUCAACCUGUGGGACCAGGAGGUGAAUCCGUCUGAUUCCUGGUCCACGGUGCUCACCACCUCAGACUUCAGACAAGGACCAGGGAGAGAAUCUAACUGGGAACUUAAUAAUGAAGAAUGGAUGCCAGGUUGUUCUACUUUAGGGCAGCCACACAAAGGCUGAAGGUACAGCAGAGCCAGGUGGAGGGGAGGUUGGGCCUGCCACAGAGAGAUCCUGAGACAAGGGUGUCGGGAGCACCUGUGAUCGAGAAGGUUCUGCUACUCCUUCAGAAAGGGCCCUUCACCCAAGGAUCCCUCAGUCUAUGGUUUAGUAUGCAGCACCUCUCAAUGAUGGGGUCUGUGGGGGUCUGCUGUUUCCCUAGAGCAGAGAGGCACUUUCUAGGGAUCAUGUGGCUUUGGGUUCCACAACAAAAAUCCAGUUUCUCCUCUGCCUGGUGGCAGUGAAGGUAGAGUAAGAGCCAGGGAGUCAGUGAGCAUGAAGAUGAGAGCAGAUAAUUCAGUGGGCUCCAGAGGCCCCAUCCUGCUCAGGCCACAAGGGCUCUGCAGGCUUGUUCCUUCUGCCUUCACCUCUGCUACCUUGGCUGGCAAAAGACUAGAGUUUUUUUUUUUUUUGGUCCUGGGAAUUAAACCCCAGGUGCUUUGCUUUUGAGCUAUAGCCCCAGCUCAUUUUAUUUUUUUAUUUUGAAACAGGGUUUUGCCAAGUUGUUGAGGCUGGCCAUGAACUUGUGAUCCUCCUGCCUCAGCCUACCUAGUCACUGGGUUUAUAGGUGUGGCUACCACGUAUAACUGAGACCAGGGUCUUUUUGAUAGGGCUGGGAUCUGGGAGCAGGUCCAGAUGGUUUCAUGCCAUCAACAUGACCCACCGUGUUCCCAUGGUUCCAGAUGCUGUCUUGACCCACUUGUUUCUUACAUAUGCCCACAGAGAAUCAUGAUAAUCAUAUGUAGUCAUCCCUCAGUAUCUGACAAGGAUUGGUUUCACAACCCACCCCCCAUACCCAAAUCUAGAGACGCUCAUGUUCAUUAUGUAAAAUGGCAUAGCAUUUGUAUACAGACUAAGCACCUUUUUCUGUAUACUUGAAAUCAUUUCUUGUAAUACCUAAAAUAAUAUGAAUGCUAUCUAAAUAGUGUUGUAUUAUUUAGAAAUAAUGACAAGAAAAUAGUCUAUACAUGUUGAGCACAGAUGUAAAUAAAAAAUUUUUUUUAAAUGAGGUAACUUUAUUUUUGUAUGUGGUGCUGAGAAUUGAACCCAGGGCCUCAAGCAUGUGAGUCAAGCGCUCUAUCAUUGAGCCACAAUCCCAGCCCCACAGAUACAAUUUUUAAAAAACAUUUUCCAUCUGUGGUUGGUUGAAUCUGUGGAUGAAUAUGGAUGACUAACGUUAUCUAUAGGAAAUGUUUUGUUUGUAUACAUGUGAAGCAUGUACGAUAAAGUGUCUGAAGGAUGGAGCUAAAAGGCCAGCUCUCUCCUGUCUUCCUCCAUGUACAUCAUUCCCUGAAACAAGAGUUUAUGGACACAUUCACUGUACCAAGACCACUGGGCACAAUCUUAGCAGAAACAUAGCUUUAAGUUCUUCCCCACCAUUGAUUGAUACCUAGAGAUGGCAUCUGACAUACAAUCAGCUGCACAAUGUCAUGUGCUCAGAAUAUACUGUCCUGGCAUCCCAAGUCCAUGGGUACAUUCUGCUUUGAAGAAGGACAUGGAAACCCAAGUCCCAGGCUCUCUGUGUGGUUUUACAGCUUUGGAUACCCUUUCUUCAAUGUCCUUCUGUAUUAGGCUUCUAAUUUCUAAUCUGGGCCUUCUUCAUACUGCAGGACUUAGGGACACAAGCUGUCUUCUUCAAUUAAAGAGAACAGAAUUUGAAAGAGGCCUGCAUUUGAGAUUAGUGGGUGGUUAAAAGCUGCCCUCAAAUUGACUGCUCUUGACUGUGAAGCUAGUAGUGUGGCUCAGCCUUACAGCCUCCAUCCAAGAAGAUUCAGGAUCCUGAAUGCAGUCUCCUUGGGGGAGGUCUUAUAUCCCGGAUUUAACCAAAGCUGAACAACCCUGAUUUAGUAGUCUUGGGCUCUCCAGAGUAUUAACCCUAGUGCUGUUGCUCCACAGUCUAUGUGGGAGGUCAGAUAACUUUCUCUAAAGGAUCAGACAGAUAAUGUUUUAAGCUCUGUGGGCCGCUUGGUCACUGUUGGAACUAUUCAAUUCUGAAGCUGUUAUGCAGGAGCAGCCACAGACAGUAAGUUAACAAAUAGCAGUGAUUAUAUCCCAAUAAAACUUUAUUUAUGGUUACUGAAAUUUGAAUUUCAUGUAUUGUUCAUAUGGAAUGAAAUAUUUUUAUUCUUUUGACCCCCCACCCCACACACAGCUUUUGAAAUGUAAAACCAUUCUUUCUUCAUGCACUGUACAAAAACAAGACCUGAGCUGGAUUUGGCCUAUAGACCAUAGUUUUCUGAUCCCUGGUCUAAAUCUUCAACUUUCAUACCAUUUGGAAGUAUAUAGUCCAAGGAGGUGGGAAAGGGAGGUAAACCUUGGCACAGCUAAUUUAGGGAUAUAGAGCACCCAAGCAAGCAGGAGUUGUUACUAGAGGCAAUGUGAUUCCCACCACCUCCCAUGAACAACAGAAUUUGUAGAUUCACAUGAGUGUACUAUAUAACAGUCAUCAUGAAAAGCCUUUGUUUGAAACAAUUAUGUGUUACACUUAGUCCAGCUAGAAUCUCCUCCUUGCAUGAUUUUGAAAAAACACAGGGACAGGAAAUUUCCACUAAAGUUUUUUGGUGGUGCUGGGGAUUGAACCCAGGGCCUUGUGCAUGGGAGGCAAGCACUCUACCAACUGAGCUAUAUCCCCAGCCCCAUGGAAUGGACUUUUAAAAGCAGAAAAGGAAACAAAACCAAACCCAAACCACACCAAAUACAAAAGUAUCAUUUCUAUCUCAACCAGUAAUAGCAAUAGUAACCGUGACAUAGUUACCUCUUACUUUUCAGAUUCCGACUGGUAAAUAACAUGGUUGUGGUCAAGCUAAAUAAAGCCAGUUUUGUUCAAAAUUCAUGAUUAUGAGAUGAGACUGCUACAAACUCAUGACUGCACGUCCUAACAGGGCCUCUAACAAUGUGAAUGUUGUUCAACCAACUCAGUGUCAGCCAAUUAAAAAAUUUUUUUCUUUUGCAUUGCUGUCAAUAUUUGAAAGUUGAGAGAUAUCACAUGAAAAGUCA
rnacentral:lncRNA from 1 species